rnacentral:tRNA from 1 species
GCGGCCGUCGCCUAGCUGGUCUAGGGCGCCGUGCGCCUUUCGCGCCGGAGAACCCGGGUUCGAAUCCCGGCGGCCGCACCA